AACGAACGCUGGCGGCAUGUCUAACACAUGCAAGUCGAACGAGACCUUCGGGUCUAGUGGCGCACGGGUGCGUAACGCGUGGGAACCUGCCCUUAGGUUCGGAAUAACUCCCCGAAAGGGGUGCUAAUACCGGAUAAUGUCCUCGGACCAAAGAUUUAUCGCCUUUGGAUGGGCCCGCGUUGGAUUAGCUAGUUGGUAGGGUAAAAGCCUACCAAGGCGACGAUCCAUAGCUGGUCUGAGAGGAUGAUCAGCCACACGGGGACUGAGACACGGCCCAGACUCCUACGGGAGGCAGCAGUGGGGAAUAUUGGACAAUGGGCGAAGGCCUGAUCCAGCAAUGCCGCGUGAGUGAUGAAGGCCUUAGAGUUGUAAAGCUCUUUUACCCGGGAUGAUAAUGACAGUACCGGGAGAAUAAGCACCGGCUAACUCCGUG
rnacentral:rRNA from 1 species